rnacentral:lncRNA from 10 species
GCGCCCGGCCGGACCCGGCGCCGGCCCAGGCCCCGCCCCACGCCCGCCCAGGCCACGCCCGGUGGGCGACGCCGCGUUCCCUCGUCCACUGGGGCCCCACCUGGAGUCCCGGGCGCGCGGGGAGGGUGGCCUUCACGCCGCGUGGAUGACAGGGUCAUCCCGACGUCGGAACUAAGCGACGACCUUAGAAGGAGUGGAGGCCGGGCCUGUCAUCUUCCUGCGGGCCUGGCAGCAGCGUGGGGCGGUGGACCCAAUCUAAUCAUCAGCUCCUGAAAAAUGGAAAACCUUUUCCAACUGGUGAGAGGGAGAUGUGACAGUGAAGGCUCAGAGGGAGAUGCACUAUUGCUGGCCUUGAAGAUUGAGGAUGGAGUCAAGAGCUAAGGAAUGAACAGGACCUCCAGAAGCUAGAAAAGAAAAUGUCUGCCAAAUACACAAGUCUGAAUCACUUCAGGUUGUCCGUCAUAUUUUCAAGAUGGUGCUCUAUGCAAAAAACAGUACAGGUUACGACUCACAAAAUGACGUAAGUGCUUUUCUUGGAGACAACCAAGAUACUUCAAAUUGUAGCAGAAAUGCUUUAUGCCUACGUCCCGUGGCAUCACACACAAUAUUAAAAACAGUACAGGAUCAAGGGCAGAGAUUAGAUGGAAUUAAUAAUUUUUACUGCUCACGCCUGUAAUCCCAGCACUUUGGGAGGCCGAGGUGGGUGGAUCACGAGGUCAGGAGAUCGAGACCAUCCUGGCUAACAAGGUGAAACCCCGUCUCUACUAAAAAUACAAAAAAUUAGCCGGGCGCGGUGGCAGGCGCCUGUAGUCCCAGCUACUCGGGAGGCUGAGGCAGG